UACGUAGGCAGCGAGCGUUGUUCGGAAUUACUGGGCGUAAAGAGUGUGUAGGCGGUGCUCCCAGUCUGUUGUGAAAUCUCCCGGCUUAACUGGGAGGGUGCAGCGGAAACUAGAGUGCUAGAGGGUGGGAGAGGUAAGCGGAAUUCCUGGUGUAGCGGUGAAAUACGUAGAUAUCGGGAGGAACACCUGUGGCGAAAGCGGCGCACUGGACCACAACUGACGCUGAGGCGCGAAAGCUAGGGGAGCAAACAGG
rnacentral:rRNA from 1 species